rnacentral:rRNA from 1 species
AAUAUUUGACAAUGGGUGCACCCCUGCUCCAGCCAUCCCGCGCGUGUGAGGAAUGUCUUCGUUUUGUAAAGCACUCUCUUUUGGGGGGAAGGACUUUAGGUUAAUACGGUGAAGUUUUGACGUCUCCCACCGAACAAGCAGCGGCUAACUCAGUGCCAGCAGCCGCGGUAAUACAGAGGGUGCAAGCGUUAAUCGGAAUUACUGGGCGUAAAGCGCACGUAGGUGGUUAAGUAAGAUGGGUGUGAAAUCCCCGGGCUUAACCUGGGAACUGCUUUCAUAACUGCUGAGCUAGAGUACGGUAGAGGGAAGUGGAAUUUCCUGUGUAGAGGUGAAAUGCGUAGAUAUAGGAAGGAACACCAGUGGCGAAGGCGACUACCUGGACUGAUACUGACACUGAGGUGCGAAAGCGUGGGGAGCAAACA